CGUGUAGGCGGCCUAUUAAGUCAGGUGUGAAAGCCCUCGGCUCAACCAAGGAACUGCAUCUGAAACUAGUAGGCUUGAGUACGGGAGAGGAGAGUGGAAUUCCCGGUGUAGAGGUGAAAUUCGUAGAUAUCGGGAAGAACACCGGUGGCGAAGGCGGCUCUCUGGACCGAUACUGACGCUGAGACGCGAAAGCGUGGGGAGCAAACAGGAUUAGAUACCCUGGUAGUCC
rnacentral:rRNA from 1 species